AUUGAACGCUGGCGGCAGGCCUAACACAUGCAAGUCGAGCGCGCGGCGGACGGGUGAGUAAUGUCUGGGAAACUGCCCGAUGGAGGGGGGUAACACCUGGAAACGCUAGCUAAUACCGCACACCAUCAGAUGUGCCCAGAUGGGAUUAGCUAGUGGGUGGGGGAACGGCGCACCUAGGCGACGAUCCCUAGCUGGUCUGAGAGGAUGACCAGCCACACUGGAACUGAGACACGGUCCAGACUCCUACGGGAGGCAGCAGUGGGGAAUAUUGCACAAUGGGCGCAAGCCUGAUGCAGCCAUGCCGCGUGUGUGAAGAAGGCCUUCGGGUUGUAAAGCACUUUCAGCGGGGAGGCGUUACCCGCAGAAGAAGCACCGGCUAACUCCGUGCCAGCAGCCGCGGUAAUAC
rnacentral:rRNA from 1 species